AGACACGGUCUUUCCGCGCACUCAUCAAUGUCGAUCUCGCAUUGGGUGCCUGUGAAACCUGAAAAAGAAACGAGUAUUAAUGUAAGUUGAUAAAAUUUAUAAAAAAAUAUAACUAUUUUAAUAAUUUAAUAUUGUAAUAAAAUUAUAAUAUUGUAAUAAAAUGAAUAAUACAAGAAUAUAAUUAUCUAUUUCACACGUGAUCACGAAUCGUUUAUGAAAAGACUAAUAUGGCAGUAUAAUAGAUCAGGAGAGAAUAGAACAGGAGUGGGAGAAACAAAAAGAAUAGUAAAACAUAUAGCAGAUAGAUGGUGCCACGUUCUAUUUAUUACCAUCGAAACGUGAGAAGUGAAUACGGGUUUCGUAAUAUUUUUGGUUAUGAAAAUUUUAAAUAUUAUAGUUGAAGUUAUAAGAUUUAUGUGAAUUCAUUUAAGAGUAAAAUUAUCGAAAGUUGUUCUCUAAACUUUAAACUUUUAAUUGAGUUUCAACGGACAAAGGAUAAAAGAACGACGAAAAACUUGUUUUUUUCGUCAAAAUUACUCAACUUCUAUGGACAUCUUCCAUAAAGUUCAAUCAUCGACUUUAAUUGCGAUAAUUGAUGUAAUUAUUUCAAAGAUCAUUGUUCUUUAUACAAAAAGGUGAGAGGAAAAAAGUGUAAGGAAUCAAUCGAUCAAAAGAUGCAAUUAUCAAGUAACCAUCUGUUUCAUCUGGAUCACUCAACCCGCAUCUAAUUGAGGCUAAUUACGAAUGGUCAUUCGACUGACGGCUUUAUUCAUCGAGAAUGUUUGCAAUUUUCGUUUAACGUGAAAAGAAAUGGUUCCUCUCCAAGAUCAUCAUGCUGAAGAUUAUCAUCGGAUGCGGUUGGUAUAUACCGUUACGAUCCAACGAGAAUUCCUCUGUGUACGAUUCUGUUAAUCUUGGAUAAUUGCAUGUGCAGCCUCACAAAACCCUUUGAAAAUUAUUCUCGAAUGAGGUACGAAAUAUCUUUAAGAGGAAACUGUUAUAGAAGCUGACCUGUCGAACUGUGUGUUCAGAUGCUGCAUCGUGUGCUUCUUAAUCAUCGUAAAUUAAUGUGUCGUAGAAUAUGAGUGAAAAGAAAUUGGAAAAUUGCACGAUAUGUUAGUUGAUGAAGAAUGCAAGAUAAAACAUUAUAACAUUGUAUGAGAGGUUGAUUCUACAAAAGAAGAAAAUAAUAAAAAUUGAAAAUAUUUCAAAUGUAUAUAUGUUUAUCUCGCAAAUGCAAAUACCAUCAUUAACGUAAAACAACAUGAAACGAAAAAUCGACAGGUGGUCUUAAUGACGAUAAGCUACCCCAUUUCGGUCCAACACCGCAAAGAUAAUAAAAGCUCUUCCGUAUAUACAAAGUAAGUACGGUAGCCAGGACGAAUCGCAUCACGUCGACGACUUUGUAAUUUUCGAGGAAGAUAAAAAAGGAAAGCUGCAUGGAUGCAUUUUGCACGAAAGGUAUUCUCGCUGCAGGUGGUUUAAUUAAAUAUGAAUGAAUAAUAAUUUGAAUGAAUAAUGUAUCGAUCGAAUUUGAAUAAUAUAUCAGAAUGCAGAGAUGGUAAUUUUUAGAUUUAUCUUUCAAAAUUAAAGAUAAGAUAUAUACAUUUAGAAAUUGAAUCAAUUGUAAUUUUCGAUAAUAAGUUUCCAGAUUCUUAUAUCAGAUAAUAGUAUUAAUAAAAUUAUGAAAGUGAUAGAAAUA